rnacentral:misc_RNA from 1 species
UUUCCGUAGGUGAACCUGCGGAAGGAUCAUUAAUGUGUUUGGGCCUCACGGCUCUUCAUUCCGACGCUGUGCGCCUUCGGGCCGCACGCUGAGGGAGCUUAUAUCCACCCCUGUGCACACACACGGUGGUGAGCUGGGUAACGGCUCGCCGCUGAUCUUUACACACGUCUAAAAGUCAUUGUAUGUUUAUUUGAGAUAAAAACACAACUUUCAGCAACGGAUCUCUUGGCUCUC